rnacentral:rRNA from 1 species
UACGUAGGGGCUAGCGUUAUCCGGAUUUAUUGGGUUUAAAGGGUACGUAGGCGGCUUAGUAAGUCAGCGGUGAAGUUUUGCAGCUUAACUGUAACAGUGCCGUUGAUACUGCCAGGCUAGGAUUUGGUUGCUGUGGGUGGAAUGUGUGGUGUAGCGGUGAAAUGCUUAGAUAUCACACAGAAUAUCGAUUGCGAAGGCAGCUCACAAAGCCAAGAUUGACGCUGAGGCACGAAAGUGUGGGGAUCAAACAGGAUUAGA